rnacentral:rRNA from 1 species
AUUGAACGCUGGCGGCAGGCCUAACACAUGCAAGUCGAGCGGAUGAAGGGAGCUUGCUCCUGGAUUCAGCGGCGGACGGGUGAGUAAUGCCUAGGAAUCUGCCUGGCAGGGGGGGAUAACGUCCGGAAACGGGCGCUAAUACCGCAUACGUCCUGAGGGAGCAAGUGGGGGAUCUUCGGACCUCACGCUAUCAGAUGAGCCUAGGUCGGAUUAGCUAGUUGGUGGGGUAAAGGCCUACCAAGGCGACGAUCCGCAACUGGUCUGAGAGGAUGAUCAGUCACACGGGAACUGAGACGCGGUCCAGACUCCUAAGGGAGGCAGCAGUGGGGAAUAUUGGACAAUGGGCGAAAGCCUGAUCCAGCCAUGCCGCGUGUGUGAAGAAGGUCUUCGGAUUGUAAAGCACUUUAAGUUGGGAGGAAGGGCAGUAAGUUAAUACCUUGCUGUUUUGACGUUACCAACAGAAUAAGCACCGGCUAACUUCGUG